CCUACGGGAGGCUGCAGUGGGGAAUAUUGCACAAUGGGGGAAACCCUGAUGCAGCGACGCCGCGUGAGUGAAGAAGUAUCUCGGUACGUAAAGCCCUAUCAGCAAGGAAGAAAAUGACGGUACCUGACUAAGAAGCCCCGGCUAACUACGUGCCAGCAGCCGCGGUAAUACGUAGGGGGCAAGCGUUAUCCGGAUUUACUGGGGGUAAAGGGAGCGUUGGCGGCAGCGCAAGUCUGGAGUGAAAUCCCAUGGCUUAACCAUGGAACUGCUUUGGAAACUGUGCAGCUAGAGUGCAGGAGAGGUAAGCGGAAUUCCUAGUGUAGCGGUGAAAUGCGUAGAUAUUAGGAGGAACACCAGUGGCGAAGGCGGCUUACUGGACUGUAACUGACGUUGAGGCUCGAAAGCGUGGGGAGCAAACAGGAUUAGAUACCCUAGUAGUC
rnacentral:rRNA from 1 species